GACAGAGGGUGCAAACGUUGUUCGGAUUUACUGGGCGUAAAGCGUGUGUAGGCGGCUUUGUAUGUCGGAUGUGAAAGCCCACGGCUCAACCGUGGAAGUGCAUCCGAAACUGCAUAGCUUGAGUCCCGGAGAGGAAGGUGGAAUGCUUGGUGUAGAGGUGAAAUUCGUAGAUAUCAGGAAGAACACCCGUGGCGAAAGCGGCUCUCUGGAACGGUACUGACGCUGAGACGCGAAAGCGUGGGGAGCGAACAGG
rnacentral:rRNA from 1 species